rnacentral:rRNA from 1 species
ACGGGUGCAGCAGGCGCGAAACCUUUACGAUGCGGGAAACCCGUGAUAAGGGAACCCCGAGUGCCUGUAACCACAGGCUGUUCAGGUGUUUAAAACGCAUCUGGAGAAAGGGCCGGGCAAGACCGGUGCCUGCCGCCGCGGUAAUACCGGCGGCUCGAGUGGUGGCCACUAUUACUGGGCUUAAAGCGUCCGUAGCCGGGUUGUUAAGUCUCCUGGGAAAUCCAACGGCUCAACCGUCGGGCGUUCAGGGGAUACUGGCAAUCUAGGGAUCGGGGGAGGUGAGAGGUACUCUAGGGGUAGGAGUGAAAUCCUGUAAUCCUUGGGGGACCACCUGUGGCGAAGGCGUCUCACCAGAACGACUCCGGCGGUGAGGGACGAAAGCUGGGGGAGCAAACCGGAUUAGAUACCCGGGUAGUCUCAGCUGUAAACGAUGCGCGUUAGGUGUAUCGGUGACUACGAGUCACCGAGGUGCCGAAGGGAAACCGUGAAACGUGCCGCCUGGGAAGUACGGUCGCAAGGCUGAAACUUAAAGGAAUUGGCGGGGGAGCAC